rnacentral:rRNA from 1 species
AUUGAACGCUGGCGGCAGGCCUAACACAUGCAAGUCGAGCGAGCGGCGGACGGGUGAGUAAUGUAUGGGGACUGCCCGAUAGCGGGGGAUCACUACUGGAAACGGUAUCUAAUACCGCAUACUAGCGGAUAACCCUUAUGGGAUUAGCUAGGAGGGGAGGUAAUGGCUCACCUAGGCGACGAUCCCUAGCUGGUCUGAGAGGUUGAUCGGCCACACUGGGACUGAGACACGGCCCAGACUCCUACGGAGGCAGCAGUGGGGAAUAUUGCACAAUGGGCGCAAGCCUGAUGCAGCCAUGCCGCGUGUAUGAAGAAGGCCCUAGGGUUGUAAAGUUCUUUCAGUCGGGAGGCGUUACCGACAGAAGAAGCAACGGCUAACUCCGUGCCAGCAGCCGCGGUAAUAC